rnacentral:rRNA from 1 species
GAUGAACGCUGGCGGCGUGCCUAAUACAUGCAAGUCGAGCGAACAGACGAGGAGCUUGCUCCUCUGACGUUAGCGGCGGACGGGUGAGUAACACGUGGAUAACCUACCUAUAAGACUGGGAUAACUUCGGGAAACCGGAGCUAAUACCGGAUAACAUGUUGAACCGCAUGGUUCAACAGUGAAAGACGGUCUUGCUGUCACUUAUAGAUGGAUCCGCUCCGCAUUAGCUAGUUGGUAAGGUAACGGCUUACCAAGGCAACGAUGCGUAGCCGACCUGAGAGGGUGAUCGGCCACACUGGAACUGAGACACGGUCCAGACUCCUACGGGAGGCAGCAGUAGGGAAUCUUCCGCAAUGGGCGAAAGCCUGACGGAGCAACGCCGCGUGAGUGAAGAGGGUCUUCGGAUCGUAAAACUCUGUUAGUAGGGAAGAACAAAUGUGUAAGUAACUAUGCACGUCUUGACGGUACCUAAUCAGAAAGCCACGGCUAACUACGUG